GGUCCUGUGGUGUAGCGGUUAACAUGCCUGCCUGUCACGCAGGAGAUCGCCGGUUCGAUCCCGGUCGGGACCGCCA
rnacentral:tRNA from 1 species